GACAUCAUUACCCUAAGUACAUGUAUGAAAACACAAAUGGUGUGACUCUACUUUGUGUUCAACCAGAGACAUGAAAAAUUGUGCUCUAUUUGUGUACUAUGAAUUGAAUUGCAUUCUGCUGUCAUAUAUAACUAAUAAGAAUUAAAAAAUUAAAAUUAUUUUUUAGUUGUAGUUGGACAUAAUACCUUUAUUUAUUUAUUUAUUUGUUUGUUUAAUGUGGUGCUGAGGAUUGAACCCAGGGCCUUGCACAUGCUAGGCGAGCACUCUACUGCUAAGCCACAACCCAGCACCCCCCACCCCUGCUAGCUCUUUUUAUUUUUCAUUUUGAAACAGGGUCUUAAUAAGUUGAUUAGAACUUCACUAAGUUACUGAGGCUGGCCUCAAACGUGCCAUCCUCCUGACGCAGUCACUGGAAUUACAGGUGUGUGCCACUGUGGCCAGCCCAACUUGAUAAUGUUUUUAUUUAUUACUACUUUUUACUUUAUUGGGACUUAUUUUACCACCUUUAUGUUAAUAAAUGUUUGGUUUGUUUCUUUCUAAAUUCCACUUGUAAUUUAUACAGUAAAUAUGUGCAUUUUCCUUUAAAUUUUUGCUACAUUCUACUGUUUUCAUAUUUAAUGUAUACUCGUUGUUCAUUUCUAAUAUGUUCAUGACUUCAAUAUUUGUCUUUAAUACAGUAAUAAUUUAAGAGUGCAGAAUUUUUGUGUUUCUAAUUUUAUUGCAUUGUGCCUAGACAAAAUGUUCCUAUGAUCAUUGGGGACUUUCUUUAUGACCUUCUAUUUAGUCAUGUAUGUUUGUAAAUAUUUCUUCUGUAUAUGCAUUAUUGGAUUUAAAUAUGUGCAUGUUCACUUACAUCCACAUAUCACAUAUAUAUCAAACUUAAUAAUUGUGUUAUUCUGUGGAGAGCUACUCUGAAUGAUUUGCGAUUUCUGUCUUGGAGCAGAGAGGCUUUGAUGGUCACUACAUCUCGUAGUGACUUGGACAUUGGCCGGGUCCCAGAAGUUUUGAGGACAGUUUUCAGACAUCACCCUACAGCCCCACCCUUUGGUCUUACAGGUCCUUUGUAACUCUGCCCCUUCUUACCUUUUUUGGAUGAACUUUCUAAGAACAAGUGUCCUCCCAAUAAAAGCCCACUUCCGAAGUUCUCUCUCUCCCUUCCCCCUCCAGCCUCUUGUGACUAUCCCUCGCUCUCACAUUUGGGGAGCUUGAGGCUGAGAGAAGAGCCGUCCUGAAGCUUGUUUAAAGGAAAGAAAAAGACUAGAACUGGUUCCUUCAGUCAUGUGAAGACACAAGAAGAUGCCAUCUGCCAACCAAUCUGCCAUCAAUAGCUUUCAGAUCUGCUGGUGCCCUGUUCUUGGACUUCCAAGUCUCCAGAACUGUUGUUAAAAUCCCAUAUCAGACCUGAUCUUCAUGUGUGAGAAAGAGGAGCUUUGGAUGCAUGGAGGAAAAUCUCAAGUCACUUAGAGGCUCACAGCUGAGAGCUUUUGAAUGGACCAACUGCUUGGAAACUAUGGGCAGAUGGUGUGUGGCUGGGAUGGGGUGGUCAGUGGGAUUAUGCCCUGGAAGAGUUUAUCUUCCCUGAAGCCUCAUCCCCUUGCUUCUCUGCUUCCUAGCUGCCAUGAGCCAAACAGCUUUCCUCUGGCUGGCCCCUUCUGCUAUGACGUUCUGCCUCACAUCGCCCAGAGCAUGGAGUGGACUGACCAUGAAACUGUGAACCAAAAUAAAAGUUGUUACUGACAAGUAUUUAAGUCACAGUGACAAAAAGCUAACUAACAUAGAUGUCUUUAAAAUCUGAUAAAUCAUUUUUUUCUGGCCUCCUAAUCAGUUGGGAUAUUUGUCUAAGGUUUUUUUUUUUUAAUCCUUUGUUUUGCUGUAAAUCCAUUAAUGAAAGCUUUUCUAAAUAGAAUUGAUGACUGACAAAAAAUGUUUAGUGACCUAAUGUCAACACUCUGACAAAAACUGGAAGAGCUUAUCUGCUUCUUUGUAAUAAAUGAGCUAUGCUAUUUUCCUAUCCUUUGCUUAGAUUGAAUUCUUUAAAAAUGCAGCUUUUUAAAUAGUUUUCUUUUUAUAAGGAAACCCUGAAUUAAGAAUUUGAAAUCUUAGGGUUUUCAUACCUCAGAAAUUUUGUCUUCUUUUGCUAAAUAUGGAAUCCCUUUAUCUCUGUAUGAUAUCCAUUGUUUAUCUAAAAUAUUGUUCAAUAGAUUUGAAACUUCACAAGUGAGCCUAAGCAUUAAAAAUGUCUAGAUAGAGUUUGAACAGAGACCUAAAAGGUUUAAAAUUAAGCAUAAAUAAUUUUAAAUAAAAAUAUAUUGACAGAAUUCUUAAAAUUAAGGAAUUUAAUUUUAUUUGGUAACACAUGACCUAAAAUGCUAAUUAUCUAUGCAUGGUUUCUAAUUUCUGGAAUAAUAUCAUUUUAUAAGGAUAAAUAAAUCAUGGGUGUUUAUAAAUCAUGGGAUAUUUGUUGUUGUAAAUUGACCAUAAAUUUUAGCAGCACUCCUUAAAAAGUUUCUUCCUAGUUGUAGACGAACAGGAUGUCUUUAUUUUAAUUGUUUAUUUUUAUUCUGUGCUAAGGAUUGAACCCAGUGCUUUACUCAUACUAGGCAAGCACUCUUCCACAGCCCUUUAGCAGUACUCUUAAAAAUUAAUUAUUGGUCUGUCUGUACCUUCAUUCAGUAACCUAAAUGUUAUAUACAUUUCCAUAAUUUAUUAUAUUAUUUAUAUUGGAUAUGAAACAUUUAAUGUUUAUCAGUUUUUAGACAUUUGCUUUUAAAACCUGUUUGUCUCUUUUCAGUUUCUUUUUACAACUUCCUUCUAAAGAUUCAUGUUGAUAUCCAGGCCCUAAAUUCAAGAUUAUUAAAAAUAAAACUGAUGUUAAUUAGCCUUCAGUAAAAACAGACUAAAAGCCUAUUUACAAUUCUCUGAACUAACAUUAGUCUCUUCGCUAACCUAGAGUAAAAAAUGAGUUUGUAUGGUGUUGCAUAUAGAACACCUCAGGUAAUUUCCAUUUGUGUUUCUGUAUUUUCUGUACAAACUGCCUGAGUUUUAUAGUUCUCAUCAGCAAGAUUUUUUUUACUGCCUUCUUCAAAAGUGUCCCUCAAAGCUGUGAAGUGGAUUUUACACCAUAUUUUAUGUUGAAAAUCUAGUUUGUACUAUUAAAUGUUAUACAAAUUUUCACUAAAAAUAUAUAUAACAAUAUAUCUAUAUUUCUAAUAUGUCAUCAUACCUCUUUUCUUCAGGAUCUCCAUUAUUUGAAUGUAUUUUAUUUUCUCCACUAUUAAUUAUCUAAAGACACAGGAUAAUAAUUUUACUUUUUAAGUCAGAAUUUUAACUUGGAAGAUGUUUUAGGUUUGAUGUAUAUCUCUUCUAUCAGUUACAAGAUUUUUAAAACAAUAAAUAGCUGAAUGAAGUAGUGCAUGCCUGUAAUCCCAAUGGCUUGUGAGGCUGAAGCAGGAGGAUUAUGAGUUCAAAGAUAGCCUCAGCAACAAGCAAGGCCCUAUGGCUGGGAAGGGGUGGUCAG